rnacentral:rRNA from 1 species
UGGGGAAUCUUCCGCAAUGGACGAAAGUCUGACGGAGCAACGCCGCGUGAGUGAAGACGGCCUUCGGGUUGUAAAGCUCUGUGAUCCGGGACGAAAGAGCCUGAGGUAAAUAGCCUAAGGAAGUGACGGUACCGGAAAAGCAAGCCACGGCUAACUACGUGCCAGCAGCCGCGGUAAUACGUAGGUGGCAAGCGUUGUCCGGAAUUAUUGGGCGUAAAGCGCGCGCAGGCGGCUUACUAAGUCCAUCUUAAAAGUGCGGGGCUUAACCCCGUGAUGGGAUGGAAACUGGAAAGCUUGAGUUUCGGAGAAGAAAGGGGAAUUUCUAGGGGAGCGGUGAAAUGCGGAAAAAAUAGGAAGAACCCCGGUGGGGAAGGCGACUUUCUGGACGAAAACUGACGCUGAGGGGCGGAAGCGGGGGGAGCAAACAGG